rnacentral:rRNA from 1 species
UGGGGAAUCUUGCGCAAUGGUCUAACGACUGACGCAGCGACGCCGCGUGUGGGAGGACGCCUUUCGGGGUGUAAACCACUGUUGCCCGGGACGAACAGCCCUUUUCGAGGGGUCUGACGGUACCGGGUGAGGAAGCACCGGCUAACUCCGUGCCAGCAGCCGCGGUAAUACGGAGGGUGCGAGCGUUGUCCGGAAUCAUUGGGCGUAAAGGGCGCGUAGGUGGCCCAGCAAGCGUGCGGUGAAAGCUCGGGGCUCAACCCCGGGUCGGCCGUGCGAACUGCGGGGCUGGAGCACUGUAGAGGCAGGCGGAAUUCCGGGUGUAGCGGUGGAAUGCGUAGAGAUCCGGAAGAACACCGGUGGCGAAGGCGGCCUGCUGGGCAGUGGCUGACGCUGAGGCGCGACAGCGUGGGGAGCAAACAGGAUUAGAUACCCUGGUAGUCCACGCCGUAAACGAUGGGCACUAGGUGCUCGGGGGAGCGACCCCCGAGUGCCGGCGC